AGUGAACGCUGGCGGUAGGCCUAACACAUGCAAGUCGAACGGCAGCACAGUAAGAGCUUGCUCUUACGGGUGGCGAGUGGCGGACGGGUGAGGAAUACAUCGGAAUCUACUUUUUCGUGGGGGAUAACGUAGGGAAACUUACGCUAAUACCGCAUACGACCUACGGGUGAAAGCAGGGGAUCUUCGGACCUUGCGCGAUUGAAUGAGCCGAUGUCGGAUUAGCUGGUUGGCGGGGUAAAGGCCCACCAAGGCGACGAUCCGUAGCUGGUCUGAGAGGAUGAUCAGCCACACUGGAACUGAGACACGGUCCAGACUCCUACGGGAGGCAGCAGUGGGGAAUAUUGGACAAUGGGCGCAAGCCUGAUCCAGCCAUACCGCGUGGGUGAAGAAGGCCUUCGGGUUGUAAAGCCCUUUGUUGGGAAAGAAAAGCAGCAGGUUAAUACCCCGCUGUUCUGACGGUACCCAAAGAAUAAGCACCGGCUAUCUUCGUG
rnacentral:rRNA from 1 species